rnacentral:rRNA from 1 species
CCUAACCUAGCGGCGGACGGGUGAGUAAUGCUUAGGAAUCUGCCUAUUAGUGGGGGACAACAUUCCGAAAGGGAUGCUAAUACCGCAUACGUCCUACGGGAGAAAGCAGGGGACCUUCGGGCCUUGCGCUAAUAGAUGAGCCUAAGUCGGAUUAGCUAGUUGGUGGGGUAAAGGCCUACCAAGGCGACGAUCUGUAGCGGGUCUGAGAGGAUGAUCCGCCACACUGGGACUGAGACACGGCCCAGACUCCUACGGGAGGCAGCAGUGGGGAAUAUUGGACAAUGGGGGGAACCCUGAUCCAGCCAUGCCGCGUGUGUGAAGAAGGCCUUUUGGUUGUAAAGCACUUUAAGCGAGGAGGAGGCUACUAGUAUUAAUACUACUGGAUAGUGGACGUUACUCGCAGAAUAAGCACCGGCUAACUCUGUGCCAGCAGCCGCGGUAAUACAGAGGGUGCGAGCGUUAAUCGGAUUUACUGGGCGUAAAGCGUGCGUAGGUGGCUAAUUAAGUCAAAUGUGAAAUCCCCGAGCUUAACUUGGGA